rnacentral:rRNA from 1 species
UAGAGUUUGAUCCUGGCUCAGGAUGAACGCUAGCGACAGGCUUAACACAUGCAAGUCGAGGGGCAGCGGGGAGGUAGCAAUACUUCCGCCGGCGACCGGCGCACGGGUGAGUAACACGUAUGGAACCUGCCCGUAGCAGGGGGAUAAACGGAAGAAAUUCCGUCUAAUACCGCGUAAUAACUCCGAGAGGCAUCUCAUGGAGUUUAAAGGGCAACACCGGCUACGGAUGGCCAUGCGGCGCAUUAGCUAGUUGGCGGGGUAACGGCCCACCAAGGCGACGAUGCGUAGGGGUUCUGAGAGGAAGGUCCCCCACACUGGUACUGAGACACGGACCAGACUCCUACGGGAGGCAGCAGUGAGGAAUAUUGGUCAAUGGGCGCGAGCCUGAACCAGCCAAGUCGCGUGAGGGAAGACGGUCCUAUGGAUUGUAAACCUCUUUUGUCGGGGAGCAAAAGACGCCACGCGUGGCGUUCCGAGAGUACCCGAAGAAAAAGCAUCGGCUAACUCCGUGCCAGCAGCCGCGGUAAUACGGAGGAUGCGAGCGUUAUCCGGAUUUAUUGGGUUUAAAGGGUGCGCAGGCGGAAGAUCAAGUCAGCGGUAAAAUUGAGAGGCUCAACCUCUUCGAGCCGUUGAAACUGGUUUUCUUGAGUGAGCGAGAAGUAUGCGGAAUGCGUGGUGUAGCGGUGAAAUGCAUAGAUAUCACGCAGAACUCCGAUUGCGAAGGCAGCAUACCGGCGCUCAACUGACGCUCAUGCACGAAAGUGUGGGUAUCGAACAGGAUUAGAUACCCUGGUAGUCCACACAGUAAACGAUGAAUACUAAUUGUUCGGGGAGAAUGAUCCCUGAGUGAUACAGCGAAAGCGUUAAGUAUUCCACCUGGGGAGUACGCCGGCAACGGUGAAACUCAAAGGAAUUGACGGGGGCCCGCACAAGCGGAGGAACAUGUGGUUUAAUUCGAUGAUACGCGAGGAACCUUACCCGGGCUCAAACGACACAGGAAUACUUUUGAAAGGAAGUAGCUCUACGGAGCCUGUGUCGAGGUGCUGCAUGGUUGUCGUCAGCUCGUGCCGUGAGGUGUCGGCUUAAGUGCCAUAACGAGCGCAACCCCCAUCGCCAGUUACCAGCAAGUCAAGUUGGGGACUCUGGCGAGACUGCCGGCGCAAGCUGUGAGGAAGGCGGGGAUGACGUCAAAUCAGCACGGCCCUUACGUCCGGGGCGACACACGUGUUACAAUGGCAGGUACAGAGAGAAGCAAUGCGGCGACGCAAAGCGGAACUUGAAAGCCUGUCUCAGUUCGGAUUGGAGUCUGCAACUCGACUCCAUGAAGCUGGAUUCGCUAGUAAUCGCGCAUCAGCCAUGGCGCGGUGAAUACGUUCCCGGGCCUUGUACACACCGCCCGUCAAGCCAUGGAAGCCGGGAGUGCCUGAAGUGUGCAACCGCAAGGAGCGCCCUAAGGUAAAACUGGUGACUGGGGCUAAGUCGUAACAAGGUAACCGUA